GAUGCCGCGUGAGUGAAGAAGGCUUUGGGUUGUAAGGCUCUUUUGUAGGGGAAGAUAAUGACUGUACCCUAAGAAUAAGGUCCGGCUAACUUCGUGCCAGCAGCCGCGGUAAUACGAAGGGACCUAGCGUAGUUCGGAAUUACUGGGCGUAAAGCGCGCGUAGGCCGUUGAGUUAGUUAAUUGUGAAAUCCCAAAGCUUAACUUUGGAACUGCAAUUAAAACUGCUCGACUAGAGUUUGAUAGAGGAAAGCGGAAUACAUAGUGUAGAGGUGAAAUUCGUAGAUAUUAUGUAGAACACCAGUUGCGAAGGCGGCUUUCUGGGUCAACACUGACGCUGAGGUGCGAAAGUAUGGGUAGCAAAGAGGAUUAGAUACCCUCGUAGUCCAUACCAUAAACGAUGAUUGCUAGAUGUUGGAAAUUUAUUUUCAGUAUCGCAGCUAACGCAUUAAGCAAUCCGCCUGGGGAGUACGACCGCAAGGUUAAAACUCAAAUGAAUUGACGGGGACCCGCACAAGCGGUGGAGCAUGUGGUUUAAUUCGAAGAUACGCGCAGAACCUUACCAAGCCUUGACAUGUCUUGUCGCGAGUUUAGGAAACUAGACUU
rnacentral:rRNA from 1 species